UUGUCGGUUAAUUAUUUGGUGCGACUUGCGAGUUGGUGGUCCUAAUUAAAUUAGGCUACUGUCAUUGCUUAGAUGUCAAAUCGGUGGCCCUACUCACUUUUGUUUUCAAAUUUUUUGAAUGUCCAACGCUUAAUAGCCACAUUUUUAUCUCUUACAAUUCGUAAUUAGUCUGAUAUUUAUUUUUUUAUUUCGCGCGUAUAAAAAAAAAAAAGAAUUAGAAUAAAAAAAUAAUUGUGGUAGGUGUGCGUGGUCGGUACGAGUCAAAGGAUUAAUCUAUCAAUCGUAUUUACAGUCAACAAUGGAGGAGUGAGAUCAACGUACAUCAACUAAGGUAAAGAUUGUCCUCUAAAAAGUUCACCUACCACAAGUUGACAUAAUUUAAUGGUAUCUAAGUAUUUCUUAAUAAAAUUCAUAACUACCAUACAUAAAAAGCCUAAAAACAAGAGAAAAACUUGAGUAUGAACGUUGGACUAGACUAAUCUAGGGAUGGGUAACGGUUAUGGUGGGUGGGUAACCGUGGUUAUUUACCCAUAACCGUUUAUGCUCAUACCCACAUAACCGUUUACCUGUUGGGUAAUUGCCUAAACAGUUAUACUCAUAUCUAUAACUGUAUACCCAUUUAAUCGUAACCGUUUAAUACCCGUUUACCCAUUUAUCAUUUUUAACCCGUUUAUCUUUUUUUUUUACCAUUACCCUUUUUUCACCCGUCUACAUGUUUUUUAACAACUUGAAAAUUAAAAAAAAAAUUGUCAUAAUUUUCUUUUUCUUUUUUUACAAUUAAACACCGUUAUAGGUACAUUCAUCAUACAUUUCCAUAUUUUAAUUUUUUUUAAGUCCUUAUAUCAUUCCAAUAAUUGAAAUAAUAGUUUACGGACGAUAUAUUUAACUGUUACCAAUGAAGGUAAAUAUAAUAUUUUAUUAUUGGGUUACAAAAAUUGUUUAGAAGACAUUUCUAUCAAAACAUUUUUGUCAAUUUCACGGUUACCCACAAGGAAAUUUAAAUUAAUUUGGUCAAUUCCUUGAUGAUGAGAAUCAUCAUUCCUAUAGCAGUGUUACUGAGAGAAUGACCGAUGAAUUCCUUGUUAAUUUAUUGGGUGCUAAGUAUUAUUGGAUCGAGAACAUGGUUUGUAUUAGUUUUACAUAUAUAAAAUAAAUAAGUAAACGGUUACUCGUUUAUAACCGCCCAUUUAAAUUUCGUGGGUAAACAGUUAUGGGUAUAACAGUUUAUUUAUCUAAACAGUUACCUAUAACCGUAACCGUUUAAUUUAAAUGAGCGAGUAACCGCGAUUACCCAUCUUAGACUAACCAUAACAAGUUUCUGAAGAAAAAAUUUCAUAAGUACCAUGAUCGUGAUGGAGGCUAAAAAUGACAGGAAAACUUGAGUACGAAUGCCGACCACACUAAUUAAAUACAAGACUAUAUAUUUCAAUCGUAUUCCAUAUACACGAUCACAUUCAAGAUGACAGCAGGUGAUUAAAACCAGCCCUCAAUGCCAAACAAACAGGUGUCGUGACGAUUGGAAAUGAUUUGUGUAAUCGGAAUUUUUUUUUAUUAUGACCGGAAUAUAAGGGGUACACCAUAUAUUUUUAUAUAAAUGAUGAAAAAUUUUAUUUUUUAAGUUAUUAACUUUUUAACACAUAUAUUUCACUAUAUGUGUAAUAACACGUCGUAUACCACUUUAUAUAUCGAUCACACUAAAAAAUUAUUGUAGUCGACAGAUUAUACCCCUCCCGCGUCCAAGUGGACCCUGCGUUGGCCGUUCGCACAUACUUUGCUGGGUGCUGUCGCCACAAAACCAUUCAGAAAUUUCGGAAAUGGUAGCUCGCAAAGCACUCCACGAUUUCCCUUCCCUUCCCAUAUCAAAAUCCAAUUUCAAAGCUUGUCUCGUGUCUCGUUCCGUUGACUAAAAGCAUUCAUCGCCAAAUUCGAGAUUUCGAGUUUGAUUUUCUUCACCUGGUAAUCGUAUCGUCUUGCUAGGAACUUGUCGUUCAAUUAAAUAAGAGUAUUUACCACAACUUGAGGUUUCUAAUUCGAUUUUAUUCAUCUCAAAUUGUCUUGGUAUGAGUUGGCUGAUUAGUUAAACUCGAGAUCUCAAACUUCUUUUUCUCCACCCCACCGUCUUGUCGCUAAACUGAACCUCAAGUCACAAGUUUUAUUUUUCCAAACUCGUAUGUCGCAGUGACACUGAGACGGCUCACGCACCCAUGAUCUCGUGAUCCCAACAUAUUAAUACAAAAUUUAUUACACCACACCCACAGUCCUACACUCCCCAGUACCCAAACUCUGUCUAUCCGCUCUUACUCUAAAUCCAUAUAUAUAUAUAGAGAGAGAGAGAGAGAGAGAGAGAGAGAGAGAGAGAGAGAGAGAGAGAGAGAGAGCUCAACAGUGAAACUUCAUCUUCUAAAAAUGAAGGACAACGAUUCACCGACACUGAUAACAAUCUCAUCAUCAACGGUGAUCAGGAAGGACACCUCGUCGUCUUCGUCGUCGAAAGCCGGAGUCUUUCUCGACAAGAAUCGCUACAAGUUCUCGGUUUUAGCUGCGAUUCUCCUCCUCGCUUUCUGGUCAAUAUUCACCGGGUGCGUCACCCUCAAAUGGUCAGCCGGCAACUUAUCCCACGUCUCCGACGACCUCGAUAUACCGACCUUCGACGAUCUCGACAUUCUGGUACGUAAGUUUACAUCUUUCUCGUACUUGGGAGCUAACCCUUUUGCUCAAUUUCUCUGUUAAUCAUUGUGGAAUUGGAAUUAAACAAAUUAAUACUGGAUUAAUGAUUUGCAGGAGGUGGAGGAGAGAGAGACGGUGGUGAGGCACAUGUGGGAUUUGUACACGCAGAGCAGCCGCACCAGCACGAGUCGACUGCCGCGGUUUUGGCAGGAGGCUUUCGAGGCGGCGUUCGAGCAUUUGAGCAGCGACGUUGCUGCCGUACGAGACGCCGCUGUUUCGGAGAUUGCCAAGAUGUCCAUCCGCUCCAUCGUCCUUGAUCCCAUCCCACUUCAAUCAACGGUUAGUAUACCCUCUAAUUUGUAUAAUCAAGUCUCUCCCUUAUGUUCACGUGUGAUUAUUUCUCUACUAAAAUUCUAAUUUAGGGUUUAGUAAAGUUUUUUGGAAAUGAUCAUCUCCGGAUCUUUUUCAUUUAAGCCUCAUGAUCAAUAAUUUUGGAUCCUUAAAAUUUGAUCCAAGCUAAAGUUAUUAUAACUUUAAUAAGUCCUGUUUUUAACCGUUGGAUCAAAUUUUAAAGGUUCGAAUUUGUUGAUCAUGAGGCUCUGGUGGAAGGGAUCCGGAGAGGAUUCCUUUCCAAGUUUUUUAACUUCAAAUAAUUUCCUGUUAAACUACUUUACUCUGUUUUUGUAUUCUCAGUUGACCUGUUGACCCGUUCUAUGUAAGUCCUUCUUCAGCUUUAGGCUUCUUUUGAUGAUUUGCUUGCUCUCUGAUGAUGCAAGAUUAGCUUUAGCCACGAAAGUUUAGUGAGCUAAACAAUUUGAGUAAAAAUUAGUACAAGUUCAAGAGCUUGAAUAGUAGAUGUAGGUCAGGUGAGAUGGUCGAGGUCUCUUGCACCGGAGUUUGAAUCCUCAUUUCGGUAGACUAGAAUAAUUUAGAAUAUAAUAUCGUCGUAUAAAAGAAACAUAAAAUUGAGUUUGUUUGUGCACGAACAACGUGAACCUCUUUAUAAACAUCGACCCAAUUUGUGAUAACUGUUGUAAAUUUGUCGAAACAUAGCGAAAAUUUCCAACCGAAAAACAUGUGCAAUUUUCAAGUGAUGGAGUUCACAAAUUCGUAUACGAGCCUUAGUAAUAUGUGUUUGCGAUUUGUGACGAAUUGUGUUUGUUAUUGUGUCCAGAACAUAAGAGAAAUGCAGAAGAAGAGAUCCAAGAAAGCGGAGGAAAGCAAGAAGGUGACUACAUUACGUAGUAGCAGUUAGAAUCCUCCGUUUCAUGUGCUUGCCGUCGAACUCAGUGCUUAAAGUUUCGUCGGAGAACGGUGAACACGCGCCGGGACUAUGUGCACGGUUUAUACAUAAUUAGGGUUCAGGUCAAUCCCCUUCUCAGAUUAAAAGAAAAAGAUCCAUAUAUGAAAACUUGUCUCUGAAUUGUCCUCCUGUGAACCCCAUUAGUUGGGGAACUUGGGACAUUAGAAAAUCCAAUUUAUUGGGAUUUGAUUUACUUGUAUAUUUAUUUUUAAUUAAGAGUAAUAAAAACAGUAAAAUUUCCAGUCCUGUAAGUGUGAAAAUUGUGUUCGUUUUCGAGUUAAAAAUCACAGCAAACUGAUAUAUAUCAUUUUUCACAAAAAAUGUGAGCUAUUUAUACGUUCUAAGAGCAACUCCACCCAUGUGGGUUGCUCGGGGGACAGUGGAGAAGAAGGGGCCGGAGGCCCGGUGGAGAGAGGUCCAGCCGUGUGGAGGCCGAGUGACGGUGGGAGCCCGAGCAAAGGGGGGGUGGGGAGUCGAUGGGCCUGUCGCUCGAGGGCGUUGCAAUUUUUUAUUUUUUUUGUGUCAGAGAGAGAGGGGGGGACCGGAGCAUUUGCAAUUUUUUAUUAUUUAAACAAACAAAAAAAACUAUUAUUUUAAUUGCUUAUUGCCAAGGGGAAGGGUUCCAAGGGUGGAGAUGUAAAUGGCAAUUACUGUUCAUUAAUGGUAGUUACUAUUCAUUUAAGGCAGUUACUGUUCAAUAGGGUGGAUUGAAUAGUGGAUUGCCAGGGAGGAGGGCUCCAUGGGUGGAGUUGCUCUAAGUUCUAACUGGUUUUGUGGCCAAAAAAGAAAAGAUUUCAUGAUGGUAGAUGUAGGAAUUUGCAAAAUCGUUUAAAAAGCAUUGAAUAGUCUAGAUUAACGAGACCAUACUAAAAGUAAUAAUCUAAACCAAUUUAAGUCGUCCAAUACUCAAGUAUUUAAUGAUACAUAACACGAAAGAAUUGUUCUACAAUUUUGGUAAAAAAAUGUUAUUUUUUAGUCGUACAAUAACUAUUUCGUUAGAAAAUUAUUAUAAGCCCUCAUCUAGAAGCAGUCACAAAAUGUAAUUUUUCUGUUAGAUUUGACUCCCACAAUAUAAACACCCAAUUUUCAACAUACAUUCCACAGUGGUUCCAAAAAAAGGCACCUUGAGUUUGAUUCAUAUUACAUUAUUAUCACGAACGAUGAUGUAAGCUUGAUACAUUUUUAUCACAAUGUUGCAUAAGUAUUACUCAUGAGUUCAACAUAUAUCGAACUCAAAAAAUAAGAAUCACUCUCAUAAGUUAUAUCCCACAAAUUUCCUGCCCAUUGUAAAAAUCUAUUUCCUAUAUUAUUCAUAUCACUCAAUUUUCCGGCUGAGUUUCGAAAAAGUAAGUAGAAAUAGAAAUCGGCGAAGUUACAACUCAAAUUAAUCAAAUUUAAAAUUGAUGGAAAAAUAUAGAAACUUGGGUACGUCGAUUGAAGAAUAAAUAUAAAUCUCCCGCAGGAUCUCAAAAAGCGACGAGAUUAAAAACAUGACUAUAAUUUAAGGAUACACAAAAUCGCUCGAGCAGAAAAAUUAGCACUGCUGCUGGCUGGCUGGCUGGCUGGCACUUACUACUACUAGUCUACCACUACGACUACAUCAUUAGAAGAAGAAGAAGAAGAAGAAGAUAUGACAGUCCAAAAGCCAAAAACCUAUUUACAACUGCCCUUCUCAUCUUUAAACUCCAUCCUCCUCCCUAAUCUUCCAGUGUCUGGAUCUCGCCCAUCAUGAUGCGGUUACUCACGACGUUAAAUCCCAAGACAGCCGGACUAACCUUCUUUCCUUUCUUUCCCUUCUUCUUGCCAACCCCUUUGGAGGACGCGUCUUGGUCCGCAUCCCCAACAUCUGCACCGUACGAAUUCACAUCUCUGCCGCUCAACCCAGCGACCCCUUGGUCAUUCCCUUUUUCAAACGCAAUUUCAAGGACAUCAGCCGGUAGCAACUCCUUGUAGUUGAGAAAUUUGUCAAUGAAUUCGUGAUCGGGAUCAUACGACCCUAGGUUCUCUUUCAGAAGCAACUCAGCCUCCGAUUUGGAUUGCUUCAGGCAAAACUCAAGGAAACUCGUAUCUGGAAAGCAAAAUAUAUGACAAAGCCAAGAAUAAGACUUUGAAAGGACGAAUUCUUCUGAACAAACUCUAGCAAAUCUUAUAAUUCUCAGAUCAGUAAUCCAAUUAUGAAACUGAAUAUCACGACAAGGAAUGGAGUUGGACCAACACAAUGACAAAUAUCAAUUCACCUUUUUAAGCUACGAAGAAAGCAAAAUCAUUAUAGCAAAAACACCUGGUUCUAUGGAAUUUGCCCACUAUUUAAUGAAGUUUAGUACUAUUAUGCAGGUCAGAAGGUCAAAAAUACCUUUCGUGCCAAUAAGCCUAACGCACUCAUUCUUGCACCAAUCUCGGAAGCCCAUGGCCUCUGCAAAGGAAAAUAAAACAACGUAAGUAGGUGACAAGAAAUAUUUCUGACAGAAAAUCAACAGUACCAUGACUGGCUUACCUGAUUGCUUGGUCAUGGCAUCUCUUUUUCCUUUCAUAGAUGACUGAGACGGUGAGGAUGAAAGUAAUCGCUCAGUUGCUUUUCGACCCACUGAUUUCUGCCCGCCUAAUGAACCAGCUGAAGUUCCUUUACCAGGAGUAAUUUUCACUCCCCGACUGCCCUGGCUUGCAAGAUGAGGAAAAUCUGCCCUGCUCACAGAAAACCAAACAAAAACACAAGCUCCAGGUCAAACUAGGUCAAAUUAGUUCCCUGCAGAUGCAAAAGAUGUGAGCCAACCCCAUGUAUAUGCAUUCCGACAAUAUAAUUAAGUGAGGCUCAUAAAGCUUUCCGUCUCAAAGCAACAUAAAGCGGACACAACCACACGAUGAAUUAAUAUAAAAUAAAGCAAAGAAGUAAUAUCAUACUGCUUAUUUUCUUGCUUUGCUUGAUCAAUUGGGCCCCAGAAUAAGUCAUCUUCUACUUUAUUUCUCGACUGAGAAGCAUGGGAAUUAAUCGCGAUGGGAGAUGCAGCCUUAGAUGGAGAUGAUGCUGAAAGUGACCAUGACGGAGCACUACUGCGGGUGACUUGAGGUGGCUGUGAUUUCUGAGGAGUUGGAAUCUGAUUUUGGUGCUGAGUAGCAGCAACCCUCUUCUCCUGCUCCUUUUGGAUAUCUCUUAAAGAUGUGGGUUUAGAAAUCUUCCCAGAGUCUGUAGACCAUGCUGGAGAAGGAGCAGGGUUAGCUGUUUCUCCUUUCCAAAGAACAAAAUCUCCCAAUGAAGGCCCUGAUGGAAUUGCAGGCGAUACUUCAUUUUCCUGAUGUACAGAACGGGAGCUUUUGACUUUCUCAGUGGGGCUUGAACUAACAGGCACAUCUACAGCAGUGACUGAUACUGAGGGCUUGGUUCCAACACCCUUUGAUUUUGCUGACCUUUUGCGACUUUUUUUGGUGUCUUUUGCCUCAAUAAAGUUAUCGUCAUCUACAGAUUCUGGCCGGGUGGGCAUAAUUUGUGAAGGAUGCUGAGUUGAUACACCAUUAGGAAUUUCAACAUCUCUUUCACUAGACUUGGCCAAAACCUCCUCUGCUAAUAAAUCAUGUAGCGGGCUCUUCUUGCUCUUUGAGUUUUGAGAAGUUUUGGGCUUCCCAACAUUUAAGUCAUGAAUACCUGCAUCUACCGGAGUUUCUGUAGAUAUUUUUGGUUCUGAAUUGACUACAACCCCAGCCCAAGGAGUUGACAAACUGGGGGAGUUGAUGAUGACCUCAGGUAUAAUCACUUCUGUCCGUGCCUUCCUCUGUUCUUCCUGUUGAAUUUCUAGUAACGAUUUCGCCUUAAAACCAGGAGCAGGUUUCCAACCUCGCUGCCCAAUCUGUGUUCGAGUACUUUGCCCAGAAACAGACUCAACUAACUUAGAAUCACCCCUGAAUUCAUUAUGUUCCUUAUCACCUCCAGAAACUUUUACAGGUUCUAGAUUUUCAGCUUGUCGGGAUUCCAAAGCCUCUGCUGUAACAAUUACAGACUUACUGCCUCGGUUGCCUCUCGUCUCCAAUUUUGUGUCGCUAACAACAGGCUUUUCAGCUUCAGACUGUGCACUGGAUGCUCCUUUUGCUUGAUCACCAGAAGACUCUACCUUGGCAGAUUUUUGCUUUUUGGACUUCUUCUCAGAAGUCUUUCUUUGCCCUCUUACUUCAACAUUCUUUGCUUCAACUACUGUAGGAGCCUCAUCAUUGCAUUUUUCCCUUUCAAUCCGCUGUUCUUCAAUUUGAUUGCCUGAUUGAACAUUCACAUCAUUAAUAUACUCAUGUACAUCUUUCUUGAAAGCUCCCAGUGAUGGCAAAGAAUCUGCAACACCCUGAGAAAUUGAAACCCCAACAGAUCCGUCAGCUAUGAAAGUGUUUUCAGCUGCCCAUUCCAGGGGUUUCACAACAUGGAAGUCAGAAUCAGGUAUGUCCUGCGCAAGGGACACCUCUCUAGAUUUGGUCAUCACAUCAAGCAAAGGUGAGCUCUCAACACUUGUCGACAUUGGCAACGACUCCUGCUGAAUAGAAAUUGGUGCCGCCAUAUUAACAUCCAGACUUCUUUGAUGAGUAAUAUUCUCAAGCACUUGAUGAGGUAACACUACUGAGGAUGCUCCCUCACUAACAUUAUGACUAAUAUCUUGGGUACCUUGGGGAGGCAAAGUCAUAUAACUACUAGUGAGUUCAUUUUGUGUAUUGGGAACUUGCACAUUUGUACCAACUGGAAACAUUUCUCGUGAUGACUGAAGCCAGGAAGGAUCUAUCCCUUUCAGCACUGCAGAAGCCUGCAUCUGUCCAAAAGAUGGCUCAGUAAAAUGCUGUCGAGAUUGAUGCUCUGACAUAACCUGGGAAAGCAGCUGCUGUUGUUGCCUUAACAAACUUUGCUCCUCCUCCUGUUUCUGUUGCUGCUGCUUCAGCAACAUGAGCUUAUCCAACAAUGUCAUUUGUUGUGUUGGAACAGGCGCUUGGGAAUGUAACUGCAAUAAAUACUGCUGUUGCAACAUGCCCAACACUUGUGGAUCUUGUAAUAAACCAGAAGAAAGUAAUUUCUCUUGCGUUGAAAUACUUGAACUAUCCAUAGCUUGGGAAAGUAAAGAUUGUUGAUUCUGAGGAUGCAGCCUCUGCUGUUGGAAUCCAAGAGGGACCUGGGGAGGAAAGUUAAUCUGGAGUGGGGCUUGGGGAGGCAAAUUACUCUGGAGUGGGUCUGAGCCACCUUGGACAGGAAAAGUUGACCGACCAGCAGCACUAUUAUGUAUGGCCAAUGAUGACCGGUCAGUUAAUCCUUGAAGGAUGGACAUGAUGUCAGAACUUUGGGUAUGAGGAGGCUGACUAGGACUUUCUGCCACUGAAGAGAGGAGGUUUGCAUCUGCAACAAUCUCCGACUUAGGUAUCACAGAUGAAACAUCUCUCCCGGGCCAAUAUUGAUAAGGAUUAGGAAAAGACCUCUGUUGUUCAAGAACCAUUCUCUUGGCGAACAGAUUAUCUAAUCCAGUAUGAAGAUUGUUUCCCAUAAAUCCUUGUAAACCUAAUAACAAAACAUAUAGAUCCAAGUCACAAGAAGGCAGUAUGUGAUAUGCAGAACAAAUGAAAACAAAGUAUGAAUAAAGCUUCAGAAAGUAUGAAAAUACUAUACUCGAAAUGUAAAAGAUACGUUAAUAUCACCAACCUUCCGUAAAAGGAAACUUCUGAAGUGGUGAGCCACUCGGAUUACCAGACAUUAGUGACUCCAGAAACCUAUUCUCAGCUUCUGCUGUUGAACCCUGUUUAUUCCUUAGAUCAUUUAUUGCCAUCUCUGCCUCACUUAAGCCAGCUUGCAUCAUCCUAACAUUACCAAAGUUUGGCCUACUUGAUGUAUCCGCAACCUCGGGUUUAGGUGCAGUAAAUCCAGGUGGUGGUCUAGCUUUAGCUCGUAAAUGAGGCAUAACAUCACCAAGUGCCAAAAAUGGCGUAUCAUUUGAUGCACCUGCUAUGCGAACUAGCAAAUCUAUGCCAAAAUAUCCAGCCUCAAACCAGCCAAUAAUGUCAGCCCCAGAGAAAGGACCUUGAAUUAUACCCUGAGGAUCUUUAUAAUAAAGCUGCAGAUCCUCUGGAGAAAGCUGCUGAGGUUUUCUCAAUUCUUGUUCCCUAUCUAGAAUUCCAGAUGGCUGCCUCCUUAUAACUGGAUCGUCACUGGUUUUCCAUCUUGCCUCAUCCCUACUUUCCCAUUCGUUAUUAAGAUCUUUCGGUCUUAGUGACCAGCCCAUAUCAGGAGUUCUUGACUUGAUAUCACCAGGAAUCUCUUUCCAAUCAUGCAAGACUGUAUGUGAGCACUCUUGUAAUGGAGCUCUCCAUGGAGAGCCAAAGUGAGCAGUACUACCUCCCUGCAUGCUCAAAUCUGCACCAACAGGUACCUCCUCAACCCUUCUGAAAGGACCACUGUCUACUCUAAAAGCUGCAAACAGAAAGUAAAUUGAGUAAAUUUAAACAGGGAAACCCAUCUCACGUCAGUAACAUGUCUGAAAAAGGCCAGUGCCAGUUUCCUUGUUUUUUUUUUUCUGAAACAUAAUCUCAAGAAAGAAUGUAAGAUUCUAAAUCAAGAAUCAAGUAAACCAGUUGUUCAUGGGCACUGAACAAUAGGUGAAUUUAAACCAUCUAGCCCAAACUUUUCCAGCCCACCCUAGUAACCUUUACCAACAUGCAUACUGAUGUUGUUUCAACAUCCUUUUCAUGUCGUACAUCAACAUACCUUCCCCUCUGAAAUUGCUCUCUGAGUAUGGUUUCUGCUCCAGCGAUGUUUCUGCUUUUAGGCUGGAUCCAUGAUGGAGCACCUGCCU
rnacentral:lncRNA from 1 species